rnacentral:rRNA from 1 species
CCUACGGGAGGCAGCAGUGAGGAAUAUUGGUCAAUGGACGGAAGUCUGAACCAGCCAUGCCGCGUGCAGGAAGACGGCUCUAUGAGUUGUAAACUGCUUUUGUACAAGGGUAAACCUGAAUACGUGUAUUCAGCUGAAAGUACUGUACGAAUAAGGAUCGGCUAACUCCGUGCCAGCAGCCGCGGUAAUACGGAGGAUCCAAGCGUUAUCCGGAUUUAUUGGGUUUAAAGGGUGCGUAGGCGGAUUGAUAAGUUAGAGGUGAAAUGUCCGAGCUUAACUCGGGAACUGCCUCUAAUACUGUUGAUCUAGAGAGUAGAUGCGGUAGGCGGAAUGUAUGGUGUAGCGGGGAAAUGCUUAGAGAUCAUACAGAACAACGAUUGCGAAGGCAGCUUACCAAUCUAUAUCUGACGUUGAGGCACGAAAGCGUGGGGAGCAAACAGGAUUAGAUACCCUAGUAGUC